GCCUGCCCAGUGACCACAAAUUCAACGGCCGCAGUAUUUUAACCGCGCGAAGGUAGCGUAAUCACUUGUUUUUUAAAUAAAGACUAGUAUGAACGGCCACACGAGGACUUAACUGUCUCCUUUAUCCAAUCAGUGAAACUGAUCUCCCCGUGAAGAAGCGGGGAUAACAUCAUAAGACGAGAAGACCCUAUGGAGCUUUAAACCUAAUCAACUAUCUCUUUUAUUUCCAAGGAACUAAUUAAUUUUAAGAUAUUAUUGACAUUGGUUUUAGGUUGGGGCGACCAUGAAGAAAAAAUUAACCUUCCUGACGACUCAUAAACUAAGAGCAACAGCUCUAAAUAUUAAGACACUUAACCAUCAUUGACCCAUUUUAUGAUCAACGAACCAAGUUACCCUAGGGAUAACAGCGCAAUCCAUUUUAAGAGUCCCUAUCGACAAAUGGGUUUACGACCUCGAUGUUGGAUCAGGGCACCCAAGUGGCGCAACCGCUACUAAAGGUUCGUUUGUUCAACGAUUAAAGCCCU
rnacentral:rRNA from 1 species